GAAUGAACGCUGGCGGCGUGCUUAACACAUGCAAGUCGAACGGUAACAGAGGAGCUUGCUCCUGCUGACGAGUGGCGCACGGGUGAGUAAUGCAUAGGUAACGUGCCCCUUAGUCUGGGAUAGCCACUGGAAACGGUGAUUAAUACCGGAUACUCCUUCUCUAUUAAUUAGAGUCGGGAAAGUUUUUCGCUAAGGGAUCGGCCUAUGUUGUAUCAGGUAGUUGGUAGGGUAAUGGCCUACCAAGCCUAUGACACAUAGCGGGUCUGAGAGGAUGAUCCGCCACACUGGUACUGAGACACGGACCAGACUCCUACGGGAGGCAGCAGUGGGGAAUAUUGCACAAUGGGGGAAACCCUGAUGCAGCAACGCCGCGUGGAGGAUGACACAUUUCGGUGCGUAAACUCCUUUUAU
rnacentral:rRNA from 1 species